AGGGUUGGCAGCAAGCUCCUGCGCGCAGCGAUUGUAACCGGAGGAAGUGGAGAAGACAACCGGAUUUUCCAUUUUUCCUUUGGGCUAAUGUAACCGGAAAUUGGGCUUUUUUUUUAAAAAAAAAAUUAGGCCCAAAUGUGGAUAGUGGAUCCAUUCAAACGGUCCAUGGAUAUGGCUUUAAUUGGUAUUUCUCUCAAACCCAAAUCCCCCAAAAUCCAUUUGCAGAACGGCACAGAAGGCGAUAUCAAACCCUUGGUCGGUUGGUCCCUCACCCAGUUACCCUUCAAUUUCCAUUCGAAGUUGUAGCACUAGUUGCAGCUGGAGGUGGUGAUCGUGUGCCGCCGGUGUGCGAAGUCUUAGGGGUGAAUCUCUGACCGGCGACAGACUCUGAGGCGACUGGCAAAGGCCGAGCAGCCAGCAGUGUGCAUUGGUGAUUGGUGAGUUUAAUAAGUCCAAUACUUGAAGUUGAAGAGUUGAAUAUUGAAUUGUUUUAGUUGUCUCAUGUCUGAUUGUCUCACUUGUCUGUAAGACUGUAACUCUGCAAAUUGUUUUGACAAACUUGACGUAUUUUAUUUGUUGAUUUGUGCAAUUGUGCUGGUGCAAGUGCAACUGCAAUUUGUCUCGUGUAUUUUUUGAUUUGUGCAACUUCAAUUUAUGAUAAUUAAAUCAUGUUGAUGGUUCGUUCGUUC
rnacentral:lncRNA from 1 species